rnacentral:rRNA from 1 species
CUUGAUUGAGAGUUUGAUCCUGGCUCAGGACGAACGCUGGCGGCGCGCCUAAUGCAUGCAAGUCGAACG